GACGAACGCUGGCGGCGUGCUUAACACAUGCAAGUCGAACGGAAAGGCCCUGCUCUUGUGGGGUGCUCGAGUGGCGAACGGGUGUGUCACACGAGUGUAACCUGCCCUUGACUUUGGGAUAACUUGAGGAAACUGGGGCUAAUACCGGAUAGGAGCCUCUGCUGCAUGGGGGGGUUUGGAAAGUUUGGGCGGUUGGGGAUGGACUCGGGGCUUAUCAGCUUGUUGGUGGGGUAGUGGCUUACAAAGGCUUUGACGGGUAGCCGGCCUGAGAGGGUGACCGGCCACAUUGGGACUGAGAUACGGCCCAGACUCCUACGGGAGGCAGCAGUGGGGAAUAUUGCACAAUGGGCGGAAGCCUGAUGCAGCAACGCCGCGUGCGGGAUGACGGCCUUCGGGUUGUAAACCGCUUUCGCCUGUGACGAAGCGUGAGUGACGGUAAUGGGUAAAGAAGCACCGGCUAACUACGUG
rnacentral:rRNA from 1 species